CCUACGGGAGGCAGCAGUGGGGAAUAUUGCACAAUGGGGGAAACCCUGAUGCAGCACCGCCGCGUGAGUGAGGAAGUAUUUCGGUAUGUAAAGCUCUAUCAGCAGGGAAUAGAAAAGAAGGUACCUGAAACAGAAGCACCGGCUAACUACGUGCCAGCAGCCGCGGUAAUACGUAGGGGGCAAGCGUUAUCCGGAUUUACUGGGUGUAAAGGGAGCGUAGACGGAAAGGCAAGUCAGAAGUGAAAACCCAAGGCUCAACCAUGGGACUGCUUUUGAAACUGUCAAACUAGAGUACGGGAGAGGUAAGAGGAAUUCCUAGUGUAGCGGUGAAAUGCGUAGAUAUUAGGAGGAACACCAGUGGCGAAGGCGUCUUACUGGACCGAAACUGACGCUGAGGCACGAAGGCCAGGGGAGCGAAAGGGAUUAGAUACCCUAGUAGUC
rnacentral:rRNA from 1 species